rnacentral:rRNA from 1 species
AAUAGAUACCCUGGUAGUCCACGCCGUAAACGAUGAGUGCUAAGUGUUAGAGGGUUUCCGCCCUUUAGUGCUGCAGCUAACGCAUUAAGCACUCCGCCUGGGGAGUACGGUCGCAAGACUGAAACUCAAAGGAAUUGACGGGGGCCCGCACAAGCGGUGGAGCAUGUGGUUUAAUUCGAAGCAACGCGAAGAACCUUACCAGGUCUUGACAUCCCACUGACCGGUAUAGAGAUAUACCUUUCCCUUCGGGGACAGUGGUGACAGGUGGUGCAUGGUUGUCGUCAGCUCGUGUCGUGAGAUGUUGGGUUAAGUCCCGCAACGAGCGCAACCCUUGAUCUUAGUUGCCAGCAUUUAGGUUGGGCACUCUAAGGUGACUGCCGGUGACAAACCGGAGGAAGGUGGGGAUGACGUCAAAUCAUCAUGCCCCUUAUGACCUGGGCUACACACGUGCUACAAUGGAUGGUACAAAGGGCUGCAAGACUGCGAAGUCAAGCCAAUCCCAUAAAACCAUUCUCAGUUCGGAUUGCAGG